GAUGAAGAACGUAGCGAACUGCGAUAAGUAAUGUGAAUUGCAGAAUUCAGUGAAUCAUCGAGUCUUUGAACGCACAUUGCGCCCCUUGGUAUUCCGAGGGGCAUGCCUGUUCGAGCGUCAUUUCAACCCUCAAGCACAGCUUGGUCUUGGGCUUCGCCGCUAACCCGGCGGGUCUUAAAAUCAGUGGCGGUGCCGUCGGGCCCUGAGCGCAGUAAUCUCUCUCGCUAUAGGGUCCCGGCGGAUGCUGGCCAGUAACCCCCAAUUUUCUAUGGUUGACCUCGGAUCAGGUAGGGAUACCCGCUGAACUUAAGCAUAUCAAUAAGCGGAGGA
rnacentral:misc_RNA from 1 species